rnacentral:tRNA from 1 species
AAAACAUAGUAUAAGUCAAUACAUUUCAUUUACACUGAAAGAAUAUUUAAGUAUAAAUUGUUUU